AUACGGAGGGUGCGAGCGUUAAUCGGAAUUACUGGGCGUAAAGCGCGCGUAGGCGGCUUUGUAAGUCGGAUGUGAAAGCCCUGGGCUCAACCUGGGAAUUGCAUUCGAAACUGCAGAGCUAGAGUUUGGUAGAGGCAGGUAGAAUUCCUAGUGUAGCGGUGAAAUGCGUAGAUAUUAGGAGGAAUACCAGUGGCGAAGGCGGCCUGCUGGACCAAAACUGACGCUGAGGUACGAAAGCGUGGGGAGCAAACGGGAUUAGAAACCCCAGUAGUCC
rnacentral:rRNA from 1 species